CCUUGUUCCAACUUGUUGGGCAGGGAUGGCUCUGAAGCUCAUUGAGACGUUUUCCUCAUAGUUCUUGCCUCUUGAUGUUCACUGGGCAGUGGGAGGCCAUUAUAGUUUGGUGUAUGUAUGCAGGGCAUGGUUGGGAAUCACUAUCAGCACUAUCCUUCACAGGGCCACAUUUUGCUUAAUCGUUUCCUAUACCAGACGCCAGGUAAACCAGUGAGCACCCUUGGGAAGCUUGCCUGUGGUUUGCCUUCUAUCUGAUACACUCAGCGUGUUGAAAUGAGAUGUCUGGUGGGGAAACAGCAAAGCCCAGAGCAGCAGAGGUUGCAAGAGGUGAUGCGGUGCAGGCCUGGCAGGUGAGAGCAGGUUGCCCAUCAGAUGAAUGGUUUAUGCCUUGUGGACUUAGGGGGUUGAGAUCAAUUUGCUCAGCAGCAAUGUGCUCGUACUUGAGGUUAAUGAUAUUUCUGGAACGCUUGGCACUUUGAAGCAAACCUUCUGGAUGUCUCCUAUGUUUCUGUGUAAGGCCAUAUUGUGGCUAAUAGGCUUUCAAUAAUACAGCAUUUUCUCCUGACAAUGGAUUAGGGAGAAGGAAGGCUGCUUCUCAGUGAUUAAAUGAUGCUUAUUCUGGUGCUCUUUGUUCAGCCAUUCCCCAGCUGCUGACAAAAGGUGCUUUCUCUGAAUACAAAGCAGCAAGCCAUCUCCUCUGUGCUAGGAAAAUACUGUAAAUUCCAGAUGCCUUGCAACUAACCUCUGUUGGAGCGUUGCAUUCAGGAAAGAAUAAAAGAAAUCUAUUUUUUUUCUUUAAUGUAAUGCAAACUGUUUUUAGGAAGUGGUACAUUUUGGAGCUUCGUUUUCCACCUUGCCUUAAUAGUACGUUCCUUUGAUUUGAAAUUCAAAUGAAAAACUCAAAAGUCUUCGGGAAGAAUUUCCAUCGUUAAGGAUUUUACCUGGGAAGAAAACGAUUUCCAACGGGCUCCGAAUUUCACAUCCACUCCUCCGUUCCCAGCAUCGUGUUUCUCUGUAGUUGUUGUGCCCUGAGAAUUUUCACAGAGACGAAGUGUUUUAAUGAGGCCUUUGCAAGCACACGUAGGCUUGCAUCAGCGAGCGCCUUUAUCUGCUCCACACGCACACCUUUGAACGCGGAUUUUUGUGGGAACGUUCAUUUAACUCGCACUUGAAAACUGCUUUUCCCGUAGCUGCCUUGGAGCGCUGGCGCCAGGAUUUCCUAGGGGAGAUGUGCAGCAGCACUCGCUCCCAUCUGAUUGCUGGGACAGCGAUUGCGGUUAGAGAUAACGGGACCAUCUUUAAUUAAAGGCUUGCUCUGCUGUGAAAUCACAAGUGCGUGCCCCAGCACUAAGGGCAUGUGCCCGCCCAGCCCGGCUUCCAGUGCAUUUGGGAUCCAUCAGCAGUUGGUUUACAGAGGACAGGAGGCAAGAAGAGAAGCCAGGAGAGGAAGGGGAGGAAGCAGAGCAACGCCUGCACAGCCGCUGGGAGAGGAGGGAGCAGGCGCUUGGGAGGACUUCUAGGAAUCAGCAACAGCAUCUUAACUUGGGAGUCUGUGGGAUAUUGCUCAGGGUGAUGGUAUUUACCUGCAUCACGACUUCAGUAUUUUUUUUUUGUCCUGUCAUGAAAUACAGAAUGUGAGGUUGAGAUGUUCUGGUUGUGAUUUUGGAGGUAAGCUCUACUCACCCCAUCCCCGUGGGCUGGUGCUGCUUCAUCUGCACUCUCCCUGCCUUGUGUCAGAGCUAUCAAAUCACAUUUGUGAACCCCGAGAUGAGUUAGAAAUUGCAUUUAUCCAUUCCUUUGAGCAAAGAGCUGGGCCUCGGUCUGUCCUGCUGACCAUGGGUCGUGUUUUCUUCAGCGUGGGAUUUCCUGUGUUUUUCCUGUGUAUUACGAGGGACAGUGGAUGGAAGGGAAACACGUCACAGCCCAUCUGCGUGCGUCGGCUGCGUGCAGUGCUCUGGGGAUUGAUUAAAAAAAUGAAAACUAGGGAGAAUGAGUUGUUUUGGUGGAGGACUGCAGUGGAACUGCCCAAAUACAGCAUCCAGGCCGAGGGAAGACCUCUUGGGGCCAUGCUGCAGAGCUGGCUGAAUGUGUCCAGCACCUUGCUGGCACAUGUUGGCUGUGGCAAGUGAGUGCAGCAGGCAGUGCCUCAGUCACACUGCAGAGCACGGCUCUGGGAGGGCCACAGGGGUACAAAUGCAAGUGGAGAAACUCACUGUAACCCACAAAACUAGGAACGCUUUGUUCCAGUUUCCCCCUUUAACAUGUUUGUGUUUUUAAAGGAUUAAAGCUUGAGCUGUGUGGAGCAAGAUGACUGCUGCUUGUGGAGGACUGUGGCACCGGGAGGCUGCGGGUUUGUUCUGGGCUGCGUUGGAAGCCAAACCCGCAAAGUUCUCGGUGGGAGAAGUGGGGCCCUCACUCCGGGCACGCUGCCUGGGGCUUCCUGCAAGACCCAGCCCUGCGAGCAAUGUUUGUAGGCUUCGGGCUGCCCUUUAAU